rnacentral:rRNA from 1 species
AUUGAACGCUGGCGGCAGGCCUAACACAUGCAAGUCGAGCGGACGAAGGGAGCUUGCUCCUGGAUUCAGCGGCGGACGGGUGAGUAAUGCCUAGGAAUCUGCCUGGUAGUGGGGGAUAACGUCCGGAAACGGGCGCUAAUACCGCAUACGUCCUGAGGGUGAAAGUGGGGGAUCUUCGGACCUCACGCUAUCAGAUGAGCCUAGGUCGGAUUAGCUAGUUGGUGGGGUAAAGGCCUACCAAGGCGACGAUCCGUAACUGGGCUGAGAGGCUGAUCAGUCACACUGGAACUGAGACACGGUCCCGACUCCUACGGGAGGCAGCAGUCGGGAAUCUUGGCCCAUGGGCGAAAGCCUGAUCCAGCCAUGCCGCGUGUGUGAAGAAGGUCUUCGGAUUGUAAAGCACUUUAAGUUGGGAGGAACGGCUGUACGUUGAUCCCUUGCUGUUUUGACGUUACCAACAGAAUAAGCACCGGCUAACUUCGUG